UGCAUGUAUAUUUUUUUCUGCAUGUUAUUUGGAUGUGAGGAGCUGUCAUUAUUAUUUUAGGAACAAAUAUGAAACAAUCUCUGGAAAAUGGAAUUUGAUUUUGAUUCAACAACAGGAGAAUUCUACUGUUUUUCUCCAGCAGCUCCACGAUAAAAGGGAACCCUGAGCAGAACACAUGCACAAACUCAUGCCAUACCCUAAGGGACAAGGUUCCCCACAUCUACUUGGAAAUCUUUGGGAUGCUCAAUGAUUAGCUCUUUGGAACUGAGAGAUGAGAUGAGGCCUGGAAAACUUCCCCCAGUACAGUCAAGUUCCUGUUGACUAAUUCUGUGACCACCAGUGACAGUCUUUGAGUCCGUGAGGCAGAGUUGCGGCAGCACAGGCUUUGCUUGGAGUUGGAUGGUUCGCACCCUGCUUGGCAUGGUUUCUAAGAGACAUCCUCUGAGUGGAUGAGGGGAGAAUCCAGCAGGCCUCUAGUCACACUGGUACGAAUAAUUUUGAUGGUGGGAGAUGGUGGUGUGAGUGGAGGGUCUGUGGGUGUGAUGAACACCUGAAUGACUCAUGGGGAGAGGGAUGUUAACAGGACAGAUGCCACUUGCUGUAAUUUUCAUAUGAUGUGUUUGGAAAGCCCCCUGCAUGGAGGAAAGAUAGAUCGAGGUCCCUUUCAAAAGUGCUCCAGAUGAAGAGGCAUUUCCACUUUCAGAAACCCUGAGAAUCCCCGAAAGAACCUCUAACUAGUC
ensembl:lncRNA LINC00158 long intergenic non-protein coding RNA 158